AUGGGGACCAUGCAUGUUGGGCAACAGGGCAAGUGUUUACUGUUUACUGUUUACUAGAAAACUAUUUUUCUUAAGAUAAUUAUGUCAUGAUCUUUUGAUCCUUAAAACUGAACUUUCCAGGUACAGUGGACACCAUAAUAAGGUAGUGCUAUACCAUGUCCUGCAAUGCAUUACCUCUACCUCCACUGUAACACAUUGCGCCUUAAAACUGUAAUGCAUUAUCUUAAGAAAACUCUUUUUCUUAAGAUAAUUAUGUCAUGAUCUUUUGAUCCUUAAAACUGAACUUUCCAGGUACAGUGGACACCAUAAUAAGGUAGUGCUAUACCAUGUCCUGCAAUGCAUUACCUCUACCUCCACUGUAACACAUUGUGCUUCACUAUUUCAGCAUAUGAGGUGCUAUACCUUCAGACC
rnacentral:lncRNA from 1 species